ACUGCUGGCAGUAACUCAUGCUGUCAUAAUGGAAAGGAAGCAGCACCUAAUGCACUAUAAAACCACAUAUAGAGCCACGUUAUGAAGACACUUCCCAGCAAUCUCUGCUGAGGUCUUCAUGGUUACAUGCAGAUGGGGAUCCAGCUGCUGCGGGACGCUAGCUGAAUGAACAGUAAGUGCUUCAUCUAAGCGACUGCUCAAGCGAAAUGAGAUGCUUCAGAGUCUUUCCUGGAGGCCGCUGACUGUAUGCAGUUCUCUCACACUCCCUCCCACAACACCAAAUGAAAAAUGAGACUCCUCUCUGCUUGUUACCUUCCAGGACGAGAGGACAAUUACUCUAUUAGGACAAAAUGUGCAUGGAAUCAGAUCUGCAAUGUUUUAAGGUUCAGAUGGGAAGCACCCUGAGGGAGUGUGUGGCCUCUUUUAAAUGCCAGAUGUGUCAUUCAGAGUCUGUGUGUCAUAUUGAUAACAAGGACACGCUCCAAGGCCUGCACUGGGUGACGACACAGAGAACAGCAAUGCUGAGGUCAGUGCCAGUGCAGAUGAAAUUUCAGGGCCAAAUAAACCAGCCUCUCCGUAUCAACACUAGAUUAUCACUACGAGGGAUCUGCUAAUCAAAAUAUGGCCUCUUCUAUGUCCACCCCUUUGGGUUCCCUCCGACCUCUCCAGUAGGCCAGAUGACUCUGAAGCUCUGCCCGUAGUUGGGCUUCAUCGAAAGGAGCGACCCUUGUCCCAAUGGUUCCACUAGAGCCUUGGUGA